UACGUAGGGUGCGAGCGUUAAUCGGAAUUACUGGGCGUAAAGCGUGCGCAGGCGGUUUUGUAAGCCAGAUGUGAAAUCCCCGGGCUCAACCUGGGAAUGGCAUUUGGGACUGCAAGGCUGGAGUUUGGCAGAGGAGACUGGAAAUUCCUGGUGUAGCGGUGGAAUGCGCAGAUAGUCAGGAAGAACACCCGUGGCGAAGGCGGCUCUCUGGAACGCAACUGACGCUGAGACGCGAAAGCGUGGGGAGCAAACAGG
rnacentral:rRNA from 1 species